CUCCUUCGCUCCGGGGACAGCGGUCCACACUUAACGUACUUCCUGAGAUUAACAAAGAAGACGCAGAAGCUCAUGAUAAGUUUGGUCAUUCGCGCAAAGAACGCAAUAGCUCAGGGAUCUACUACCUCAAAGAUCGUCGCCAUCCAUAUCGCUGGUGUGGAAUCGAAAGCACUGCCUGGAAUCGCAUUGUUCUUAUACCGUCUCAGCUGGAAGUCAUGGAGUGGUCCUUCGUGAAGUUGUAUCUCAUCGGAUCGGCGUUGAGCGCCUUCACGGUCUUCUUCUCCUUGAUGGACUCCUUCGGUGGACUCAUGUACGGCCAGGAUGACCUUAGGGUGUGGGCCCACUCCCAGGACCACCAGAGACCACUCACCGCCCCCAGCAUUAGGACAGGACCGACAGGAGCGAAAGACGAGGACUCGUCGUAAACGGGGGACCUACACAUGGAGGGAAUUGUAUAGCCGAUGAAGAGCAGGUGUCAGAUGGCGCAUUUGUAUCACACUAACCCGCUGUCCUUAUUCUUUAAAGAAACACAUUGUGUCGUGCACUAAGUCUGUUACUUGUAUAUAUGUAUGUAUUACCUUAAUGUAUGGAUCAGAAUGGCCAAGUCAAAGGCUUAGGUGCUGUAAAUUGUGUGUGUUAAGUCGUAUUAUUUAAAUAUUUAUUAUAUUCUGAUAAAUGUGUGAAACACUGUUUGACUUUAAAGACGUUUCUUGCUGCAACCCUAUCCAAGAAUCUGUUUUCUAUACCCAACAAAGGUUGUCAAAGUCUUAUAAGACUAUAAGGCAAAUGUGGCUCACUUUCCUUAUUGUUGAUAUUUUACAUAUUAAAGUUGUAUAACAACCUACAA